rnacentral:rRNA from 1 species
GACGAACGCUGGCGGCGUGCUUAACACAUGCAAGUCGAACGGAGUGGCGAACGGGUGAGUAACACGCGGGUGCUCUGCCUUGCACUUCGGGAUACGCUUGGUCCACUGGGUCUAAUACCGGAUAGUGCAAGAUGAGCUCGCGGCCUAUCAGCUUGUUGGUGGGGUUAGGGCCUACCAAGGCGUCGACGGGUAGCCGGCCUGAGAGGGGGUCCGGCCACACUGGGGCUGAGAUACGGCCCAGACGCCUACGGGAGGCAGCAGUUGGGAAUAGUGCACAAUGGGCGGAAGCCUGAUGCAGCGACGCCGCGUGGGGGAUGAAGGCCUUCGGGUUGUAAACUCCUUUCGACAGGGACGCGGUACCUGUAUAAGAAGCACCGGCUAACUACGUGCCAGCAGCCGCGGUAAUAC